AAGUCGUAACAAGGUCUCCGUAGGUGAACCUGCGGAGGGAUCAUUACCGAGUGAGGGCCUCCGGGCCCGACCUCCAACCCUAUGUCUACCGACCCUGUUGCCUCGGGGGUGACCCGGCGCCCGUUCCUCGGGCGCCCCGGGGCCCCCGGCCGGACCCCGUCCAACGCUGCAUCUGUGCGUCCGAGUCAUAUUUGAAUCAAUCAAAA
rnacentral:misc_RNA from 1 species